rnacentral:rRNA from 1 species
UCUUCCUUUGUCUGGCGACCGGCGCACGGGUGAGUAACACGUAUCCAACCUGCCCUUUACUCGGGGAUAGCCUUUCGAAAGAAAGAUUAAUACCCGAUAGCAUAAUGAUUCCGCAUGGUUUCAUUAUUAAAGGAUUCCGGUAAAGGAUGGGGAUGCGUUCCAUUAGGUUGUUGGUGGGGUAACGGCCCACCAAGCCUUCGAUGGAUAGGGGUUCUGAGAGGAAGGUCCCCCACAUUGGAACUGAGACACGGUCCAA